GGAAAUAACUUCCUCUUCCCAGCCCAACCUUUCAGUAGAGAAGAGUUCCUUCACCCUUUCAGUCAUUGACUCAUAAUAGUCACAGCCACAGUCGCAGCCGCAGUAUUGCUUCUUCUCCCAUGCACCUUAAUAUAUAUCACAUACUCUUUCUUCCUCUAAAUUUAUGUAUCCUAACUAAACCGAUGUCGAUGCCUGGUCUUCUUCCAACAACAUAAAGCUCCCACCUCGUCUGAGCUUCUGCGACAAGCUUUCCAGCGGUUCCGGAAACUAAAAACGAGGACGGAGAGGAAACCUUGCUGAUGGGGAAAUUUUACUUGGUACAUUUUCUAUGCCUGACAUGGAGUUUGGUGUUUCCGGGCACUCAUCAGCUGCAGUCAUCUCAGAGACAAGUCCUCCAGCAGCUGCGAAAGCACUUGGAGUACCCGAGCCAGUUAGAGAUGUGGACCACCCACGGCCUAGAUCUCUGCUUCCUGCCACCCUCACCGAAUGUGAACCUCACGUGCGAGAAAAACUCUGUCACUGAACUCCAACUAGUAGGAGAUAAGUUUGCAGCUUCAGCUAGACGUUCCUUCCAAGGGUAUGCCAUUCCAGGCCAAACCUUAUCCCAGAACUUCUCCAUGGAUUCUCUUGUGACCACGCUGGUUCGUCUGACAAGCCUAAGAGUCCUCCGUUUGGUGUCUCUAGGGAUGUGGGGUUCGCUCCCGGACAAAAUCCAUCGGCUUUCCUCGCUCGAGAUUCUUGAUCUGAACUCUAAUUUCCUCUACGGUUUGGUCCCGCCGAAGAUCUCUACAAUGGUGAAGCUUCAGAGCUUAAUCUUCGACGAUAACUACUUCAAUGGGUCUGCUCCGGACUGGUUUGAUUCCUUGCGGAACAUGACGGUCCUGAGUUUGAGGAGCAACCGGUUGAGCGGUCAAUUCCCGCUUUCACUCGAGAAAAUUCGCGCCGUAAGUGAAGUUUACCUGUCAGGCAAUGAAAUAGAUGGAAAAGUACCCGACCUUAGUGGGUUAAGUAAUUUAAGAGUUCUGAACUUAAGUGGGAACAGAUUCAGCUCGGGCUUACCUGAGAUGCCGAGGAGUUUGAUUAUGGCUUCACUAGGCAACAACUCCUUUUCGGGCGAAAUCCCCAAGCAAUAUAGCCAACUAAGUCAUCUUCAAUUCUUUGAUGUGUCAUUCAAUAUGCUGAGAGGAAAACCUCUGGCGGGACUUUUCUCUUUGCCUAACAUCACAUAUCUCAAUUUUGCAACGAAUAUGCUCAGCGGUUCACUGUCGGUCCACACCAGCUGCAGCAAGAAACUCGGGUUCGUUGACUUAUCGAACAACAAGUUAAAGGGCGGUCUGCCAGCUUGUUUGAGGUCUCAAUCAGGAAACCGAACAGUAAACUCUAAUGGGAAUUGCCUGUCUACAGAUGCAGAGAAUCAGCAUUCUGAAUCUUACUGCGCAGAAGUCCCUGAAAUGAAACCAUCAAGGGGGGAAAAUGUGGGAGCACUGGUGGCGGUUAUCGGAGGAUCUGUGGUUCUUAUCUGCCUUCUGGGUUUUAGUAUCCUAACUCUGUAUAUGAGAUGCUGUUCUAGGGGGAUCUCAGGACAGCGUUUGCUGCAAAAAGCGGCACAAGAUAACUCGGCCACAGGAUUUUCCUCCCAAGUCCUAAGAAGUGGAAAAUACAUCUCUGAAACUACCAAGAUGUCUACGCUAGAUCUUCCGCCGUGCCGGUCAUUUUCUCUGCAAGAGUUGGAGGAGGCAACCGACAAUUUUGAUAAGACAGCCUUUAUCGGGGAUGGCUCUUACGGAAAGCUGUACAAGGGAAGGUUGCAGAAUGGGUUACAAGUAGCUGUGAGGUGCUUACCUUCAAAGAGAUAUUCAAUCCGGAACCUGCGGCUCAGAUUGGAUUUGCUCUCAAAGCUCCGACACCCGAACUUGGUCUGCCUCUUGGGCCACUGUAUCGAUGCCAGUGGACAAGACGAACCGGGAUUCGACAGAGUCUUCCUGGUUUACGAAUAUGUGACCAAUGGAAAUUUCCAGACCUGUGUUUCUGGUAACAAUCCCGAUAAGGCACUUAGAUGGUCGGAGAGGUUGGAUGUUCUGAUUGGAGUGGCAAGAGCUGUGCACUUCCUGCAUACCGGAAUAAUUCCAGGAUUCUUCAGCAAUCGAUUGAAAAGCAAUAACAUCUUGCUAAAUGAGCAUAGAAUGGCGAAGUUGAGCGACUACGGUUUGUCCGUUAUCUCGGGAGAAAUUGACAAGGACCAGGUGACAGGAGACAGCACAAAAACAUGGGGGCUUGUUCUUUCAGGCAGAAGAAAAGUUUAGAGGAUGAUGGGUAUAGUUUCGGGUUCAUAAUUCUUGAGUCUUUCCUCGGACCUUCAACAUCCAGCAGAAAAGAGACUUUACUGCAUAAAGAAAUGGCAGCGUUGAACAGCCCAGAAGGCAGGAGGCAAAUGGUGGAUCCUGUCGUUCUUGCCACCAGCUCGCAGGACUCACUGUCCGUUGUGAUCUCCUUGGCUAAGAAAUGCAUUUCUUUUGAAGGGAGCCGCCCGUCAUUCGAGGACAUUCUGUGGAACUUACAGUAUGCAGCUCAAGUUCAAGGUACAGCAGCCGGCGAAUAAAAUAGAAGAUGCUCAUAGUUUUGUGGGCACAUUUUCUAUGGUUCCUUCCUAGGUGAAGCCAACAUAGGCAAGGCGACUAUCCUGAGCAGAGUUGCAUCCCAAGAAGAAAUAAAAGCCGGUUUUCCUCGCUAGCCUCCUAUAUUGAUUGAACCGAGCGACCCAGAAGCUGUACACUGUUCAUUCACAGGCAGAAAAUUAUUCUAGAAAAGGGACCAUGAAUUGAGAGAUCAUACUUACUACAUCCAAGAAGAGACGUUAUCAUCUUUCACUUUCUUGUGCAACUCUACAAAAUAUAUAUAUAUAUAUAUAUAUAUAUAUUCUUUGGUUCAAA